AUUGGGGUUAGGGUUCAAGAAUCCCGGGAUAGAGGGGGUUCUCGGAAACCCGGAUCUGUGGGACGAGAUGACGAAGGCCGUCCGUGGCCAGAGGGGCCGGCUCAGCGUGUCGCGGUCGAAGACGAUGGGCGAGACGGUGAAUGGGUAGCACCGGUACACCGUCAUCGGGUUCUAGCUGACGAAGGGGAUGGGCCCGGGUAAGUACGUGUCCAGCGACACCUUCGCGUGGGAGGCUACCAGUGAGCGGUCUACUUCUACCUCGACGGGAAGAGCCGCAAGGACAACUCCCGCUACGUGUCCGUGUUCAUCGCCCUGGCCAGCGAGGGGACCAACGUGCGGUCGGUCUUCGAGAUCACCAUGAUCGAUCAGAGCUGCAAGGGCCGCCACAAGGUGCACAGUCAUUUCAAGCGGUCGUUGGAGGGUGGGCGGAGACUGUGGGGUUACAAUCGAUUUUACAGAAGAACAGCCUUGGAAUCAUCAGAGUACCUCAAUGAUGAUUGUCUGAUAAUGCAUUGUACAGUGGGUGUUGUUAGAAACUGUACUGAAUCACCAAACCAGUUUUCUGUUAAUGUACCAUCAUCAGACUUGGGUCAGUGUCUAAAGGAGCUGUUGAAAUCUGGCAUUGGUUCUGACAUAAUUUUUGAGGUUGGUGAUGAGACAUUUCAAGCACACAAGCAGAUUCUCGCUGCUUGUUCUCCAGUAUUUAAUGCCCAAUUUUUUGGCCUUAUUGGGAAUCCUAAUGUGGAUAGAGUAGUUGUAGAGGAUGUGGAACCUCCUGUUUCAAGGAGGAAGCAUAGAGGUUUGGUUCAAACUAGAGGUUUCAUUAUUGACCCUAUAUUCUCAAGUUCAUGCCACUGGAUGGUUCUUAAAGACCCAAAAUGA